CCCUUCGUGAGGGCGAGGCGCGAGGAGACGGGAAUCUCCCCGAUCUCCUCCACCGCCAGCGUCGAUCCCUCUCUCCGGAGAGAGCCGUCUCCGAGGCGGACUGAUGGGAGAGACGAGCCACGCCUCGCGAGGAGGAAGAGGACUCCAAUUCUGGAUCGAAUCAUUGCGCGAGUCGCGCCGACGGUUCCGUCACUGCCGAUGGGGGCGUCAAAUCCUCAUCCGACCUGGCUGUUUAUGAGCAGUUGGGGGCAACAGUUUGGAGCAGAAGAUUCAACCAUGGGCAGGAGCUAUUUCAGAGAGGGUUCAAGAAACACGGUAAGAAACACAUCACCUGGCAGUAGUUUUAUUUCCUGAUUGCAUAGAUGUAGAAAAAGUUCUUAGAGAUCAAAUGUU